CCUACGGGUGGCAGCAGUGGGGAAUAUUGCACAAUGGGGGCAACCCUGAUGCAGCGACGCCGCGUGAGUGAAGAAGUAUUUCGGUAUGUAAAGCUCUAUCAGCAGGGAAGAAAAAAGACGGUACCUUACUCUCAUGCCUCGGCUAACUACGUGCCAGCAGCCGCGGCAAUCUGGAGGGGGCAAGCGUUAUCCGGAUUUACUGGGUGGAAAGGGAGCGUAGUCGGGGGGGCAAGUCUGAAGUGAAAGGCAGGGGCUUAACCCCUGAACUGCAUUGGAAACUGCCAUGCUAGAGUGCUGGAGAGGGGAGUAGAAUUCCUGGUGUAGCGGUGAAAUGCGUAGAUAUUAGGAGGAACACCAGUGGCGAAGGCGGCUUACUGGACAGUAACUGACGUUGAGGCUCGAAAGCGUGGGGAGCAAACAGGAUUAGAUACCCGGGUAGUC
rnacentral:rRNA from 1 species